rnacentral:rRNA from 1 species
ACAAUGGGCGCAAGCCUGAUGCAGCGACGCCGCGUGAGGGAUGACGGCCUUCGGGUUGUAAACCUCUUUCAGCAGGGAAGAAGCGAAAGUGACGGUACCUGCAGAAGAAGCGCCGGCUAACUACGUGCCAGCAGCCGCGGUAAUACGUAGGGCGCAAGCGUUGUCCGGAAUUAUUGGGCGUAAAGAGCUCGUAGGCGGUUUGUCGCGUCUGCUGUGAAAACCUAMGGCUCAACCUUGGGCUUGCAGUGGGUACGGGCAGACUAGAGUGCGGUAGGGGWGACUGGAAUUCCUGGUGUAGCGGUGGAAUGCGCAGAUAUCAGGAGGAACACCGAUGGCGAAGGCAGGUCWCUGGGCCGCAACUGACGCUGAGGAGCGAAAGCAUGGGGAGCGAACAGGAUUAGAUACCCUGGUAGUCCAUGCCGUAAACGUUGGGCACUAGGUGUGGGGCUCAUUCCACGAGUUCCGUGCCGCAGCAAACGCAUUAAGUGCCCCGCCUGGGGAGUACGGCCGCAAGGCUAAAACUCAAAGAAAUUGACGGGGGCCCGCACAAGCGGCGGAGCAUGCGGAUUAAUUCGAUGCAACGCGAAGAACCUUACCRAGKYUURAMWWWCMCSGRAAACUKCCRRRRWWSGKYGCCCCGCRAGGUCGGURUACAGGUGGUGCAUGGYUGUCGUCAGCUCGUGUCGUGAGAUGUUGGGUUAAGUCCCGCAACGAGCGCAACCCUYGUCCCAUGUUGCCAGCGGGURAUGCCGGGGACUCAYRGGAGACUGCCGGGGUCAACUCGGAGGAAGGUGGGGAYGACGUCAARUCAUCAUGCCCCUUAUGUCYWGGGCUUCACRCAUGCUACAAUGGCCGGUACAAAGGGCUGCGAUACCGYGAGGUGGAGCGAAUCCCAAAAAGCCGGUCUCAGUUCGGAUYGGGGUCUGCAACUCGACCCCRUGAAGUCGG